AUCCCAUCCCGAACUCAGCAGUGAAACGAUGCAUCGCCGAUGGUAGUGUGGGGUUUCCCCAUGUGAGAGUAGGUCAUCGUC
rnacentral:rRNA from 5 species